rnacentral:rRNA from 1 species
AUUGAACGCUGGCGGCAGGCCUAACACAUGCAAGUCGAGCGGAUGAAGGGAGCUUGCUCCUGGAUUCAGCGGCGGACGGGUGAGUAAUGCCUAGGAAUCUGCCUGGUAGUGGGGGAUAACGUCCGGAAACGGGCGCUAAUACCGCAUACGUCCUGAGGGAGAAAGUGGGGGAUCUUCGGACCUCACGCUAUCAGAUGAGCCUAGGUCGGAUUAGCUAGUUGGUGGGGUAAAGGCCUACCAAGGCGACGAUCCGUAACUGGUCUGAGAGGAUGAUCAGUCACACUGGAACUGAGACACGGUCCAGUCUCCUACGGGAGGCAGCAGUGGGGAAUAUUGGACAAUGGGCGAAAGCCUGAUCCAGCCAUGCCGUGUGUGUGAAGAAGGUCUUCGGAUUGUAAAGCACUUUAAGUUGGGAGGAAGGGCAGUAAGUUAAUACCUUGCUGUUUUGACGUUACCAACAGAAUAAGCACCGGCUAACUUCGUG